UUCUAUUUUCCUAUUGAUUUAUUGCAGCCGUUGCCGGGCCUCGGUGUGUGCGAAGUCAGGGCACUUCACAACUGCGCCCUGUUUAAACAGGAAAAGCAUGCACCAUUUUGUCAGGGAGGAGGGAGCAGCCCAAAGUCUCUCCCUUCAGUUCGGUCCCCAGGGGCCCAGACCAACAAAGAAGACAUUAAAAACCUGCAGCCCAGAGAGGGAAGGAAACUGCCUCUCUGGGUCUUCCCCAAGGUCAGUGGAACCUUGCCAAGGCCAAAGGUCCUCCUAGUGUGACCCUCAGCUUGAUGCAUCUUUCUCCUGUCCCUCCAGCCCAGCUGUGCAAGGACAGGAAAGGGCCCCAGCAGAGCGAGAGACCAGCUGAGGAAAGCAGAGGCCAGGCUGCCCUGUGGUCCAGUGAGAGGCUCGCCAAGGCCAAGGCCUGGCCCUGGGGCCUAGAGGGUCACCAAGGCCCCUUCUGGAGGUUACCUCCUUCCAAGCUGUGCAUGGAAUCCUUCCCUGCCUGCCAGGCUCUGGCCAUCCCGAGGCCUCACCACACUGAAAGCGGCCCCUGAAAAGCCCAGGGAGAAGGAACCAGCAGCGGACCACAUCUGUACCAAGAGGUUAGUCUAAACUCCAAUGGUCUGGCUGGCCGGGGAGGAGGGGAAGGGGAGAUGGGGGUGAGGUUUUUCCACUUCCAUUCGAAACUGUCAGGCGGGUGAUUAAUGACCAACAGGUUUGGAAUCGCCUUUAUUGCCAGAUCAGUAUUGUUGCCCGUGACAACUAAUGAGGUUGGACAG
rnacentral:lncRNA from 1 species